rnacentral:rRNA from 1 species
UACGGAGGGUGCAAGCGUUGUCCGGAUUUAUUGGGCUUAAAGGGUGCGUAGGCGGUCUUUUAAGUCAGUGGUGAAAGCCUCCAGCUUAACUGGAGAAAUGCCAUUGAUACUGGAAGACUUGAGUACAGACGAGGUAGGCGGAAUUGACAGUGUAGCGGUGAAAUGCAUAGAUAUUGUCAAGAACACCGAUUGCGAAGGCAGCUUACUAGACUGUAACUGACGCUGAGGCACGAAAGUGUGGGGAUCAAACAGG